ensembl:miRNA
CCUGGCCAUGUGACUUGUGGGCUUCCCUUUGUCAUCCUUUGCCUAAGGCUCUGGGCAGGGCAGGGACAACAAAGGGGUGCUCAGUUGUCACCUCCCACAGCA